rnacentral:rRNA from 2 species
CUUUUCUUGUAUUUAGUAAGAAGUAUGACCUGCCCAAUGAAUAUUUAGUGUUUAAAUGGCCGCGGUAUUUUGACCGUGCAAAGGUAGCAUAAUCAUUAGUCUCUUAAAUGGGGACUAGAAUGAACGGUUUAACGAGAUAAGCUCUGUCUUUAUUUUAAUUUAUUUAAUUUAAUUUUUGAGUCAAAAGGCUCAAAUUUUUUUAUGGGACGAGAAGACCCUAUAGAGUUUAUAUAUCAAUAUAAGUGUUUAUUGGUGUAUGAAAAUCAUUUAAUAAUUAAGGGUAUUUAGUUGGGGAGACUUAAAGAUAAUUAUAACUCUUUAAAAUUUAAUUUACUUAUUUGUAUUAACUUUGAUCCAUUUUUAAUGAUUAAAAGACUAAAUUACCUUAGGGAUAACAGCGUAAUCUUUUUUGAGAGUUCUUAUUAACAAUAAGGAUUGCGACCUCGAUGUUGGAUUAAGAAAAUUUUUAGUGGUGAAGAAGCUUUAAGGUUAGGUCUGUUCGACCUUUAAAUUCUUACA